rnacentral:piRNA from 1 species
UAGUCUGAAGGAAACGGAACGGUGCUUCC